AGCAGCCGCGGUAAUUCCAGCUCCAAUAGCGUAUAUUAAAGUUGCUGCAGUUAAAAAGCUCGUAGUUGAAUUUCGGGGUCAGUAGGUUGGUCGUGCCACUGGUAUGUACUGGCUUCACUGAUUCCUCCCUCUUGUAGAACCGUAAUGCCAUUAAGUUGGUGUUGCGGGGAAACAGGACUGUUACUUUAGAAAAAAUUAGAGUGUUUAAAGCAGGCUAACGCUUGAAUACAUUAGCAUGGAAUAAUGAAAUAGGACGUUUGAUCCUAUUUUGUUGGUUUCUAGGAUUGACGUAAUGAUUAAUAGGGAUAGUUGGGGGCAUUAGUAUUCAAUUGUCAGAGGUGAAAUUCUUGGAUUUAUUGAAGACUAACUACUGCGAAAGCAUUUGCCAAGGAUGUUUUCAUUAAUCAAGAACGAAAGUUAGGGGAUCGAAGACGAUCAGAUACCGUCGUAGUCUUAACCAUAAACUAUGCCGACUAGGGAUCGGAUGAUGUUAAUUUUUUAAUGACUCAUUCGGCGCCUU
rnacentral:rRNA from 1 species